AUUUAAUACACUAGUUGUCAUGUGCUAAAUCCACAGAAUCAUGUUUAAAAUGUCAAUAACUUCUUGAAAGGGGUUAAUUUUCAUCACAAAGGCGUUGAGAAGUCAAGGAGGGGACUGCCACCUGCUAUUGGACAUAUUUCUGUGGUUCUGCUAAGAAGCUUUUCUUGUGAUGGUUGUUGGCUCAAUAGCUCUAGAGAAGAUAAAGGUGGAAAUUCAAGCACUGGAAUGCAAGAUAAAUAUCCUCCUGCCAGCUGGUGGAGGAGAGAUGAGACUUCUGACUGUUCAAGGUAAUGAAAGAUGUACUGCAGUUCAAAGGAUGCAUAGAACUUUCAGACUCCUACAAUUCACUGAAACCUCCAUUAUCUGCAAUGCAGUCCAUUCUGCUGGAACCAGCUGCUUCUUGCAAAUGGAUAAGGCAAAGAUUUAUUAUCAUCAGAACACAUGGAAAUUAGAAAAUGGACUAAUGGAAACCAUUAAUGUCCUCCUCUCAACAACCAGAUGAAUGCAGUAUAUUAAUGUAUUGGAAAUGAUUUAAGAUGCUAAAAACAUUAAGUCUCCAAUAUUUGAUGGGAAGAAAGCAAGCAAGACAAGGACAGCACUCUUACACUCUGCUGCACCUAUGGAAAAAACUCCACCACAAUUUAAGACAUAUUUUGUUUCCAGGAUUUUGAUAUCUUUAAAGAGAUAAUAUUGAAAAAACACUCUGUAUCCUUCCAUAAUAG
rnacentral:lncRNA from 1 species